rnacentral:rRNA from 1 species
CAUGCAAGUCGAACGGAAAGGCCUCAGCUUGCUGGGGUACUCGAGUGGCGAACGGGUGAGUAACACGUGGGUGAUCUGCCUUGCACUUCGGGAUAAGCUUGGGAAACUGGGUCUAAUACCGGAUAGGACAGCUGUUUAGUGUCAGUUGUGGAAAGUUUUUUCGGUGCAAGAUGAGCUCGCGGCCUAUCAGCUUGUUGGUGGGGUAAUGGCCUACCAAGGCGUCGACGGGUAGCCGGCCUGAGAGGGUGGACGGCCACAUUGGGACUGAGAUACGGCCCAGACUCCUACGGGAGGCAGCAGUGGGGAAUAUUGCACAAUGGGCGGAAGCCUGAUGCAGCGACGCCGCGUGGGGGAUGAAGGCCUUCGGGUUGUAAACUCCUUUCGACAGGGACGAAGCUUUUGUGACGGUACCUGUAUAAGAAGCACCGGCUAACUACGUGCCAGCAGCCGCGGUAAUACGUAGGGUGCGAGCGUUGUCCGGAAUUACUGGGCGUAAAGAGCUCGUAGGUGGUUUGUCGCGUCGUCUGUGAAAUUCCGGGGCUUAACUCCGGGCGUGCAGGCGAUACGGGCUGACUUGAGUGCUGUAGGGGAGACUGGAAUUCCUGGUGUAGCGGUGAAAUGCGCAGAUAUCAGGAGGAACACCGAUGGCGAAGGCAGGUCUCUGGGCAGUAACUGACGCUGAGGAGCGAAAGCAUGGGUAGCGAACAGGAUUAGAUACCCUGGUAGUCCAUGCCGUAAACGGUGGGCGCUAGGUGUAGGGGGCUUCCACGUCUUCUGUGCCGUAGCUAACGCAUUAAGCGCCCCGCCUGGGGAGUACGGCCGCAAGGCUAAAACUCAAAGGAAUUGACGGGGGCCCGCACAAGCGGCGGAACAUGUGGA